GUUUGAUAGCCCGCGAGGGGGGCUAGAGCCUGGCGGUAGGAGGGACUCGUUGUCCCAGCGUGCCCUGCGCCUCAGCCCGCGCGCUCGCAGUUUCUCGCUCUCGCCCGCCCUCCGCUCCCUAGCUUGCUCGCGCUUUUGCUCGCGCUCUCCUCGCGGAUCGAAGGGACUGUGGCUACAGCCUGUGGCUGGGAAGGGCGACAGAGGCGGCGGUUCAGGAGAAACGAAGCUGCAGGGGUGGUGGUGGUGAGAAGAUGUCGGGCGAGGACGAGCAGCAGGAGCAAACUAUCGCCGAGGACCUGGUCGUGACCAAGUAUAAGAUGGGGGGCGACAUUGCCAACCGGGUACUUCGGUCUUUGGUGGAAGCAUCCUGUUCAGGUGUGUCGGUACUGAGCCUGUGUGAGAAAGGUGAUGCCAUGAUAAUGGAAGAGACAGGGAAGAUUUUCAAAAAAGAAAAAGAAAUGAAGAAAGGUAUUGCCUUUCCCACCAGCAUUUCAGUAAAUAACUGUGUAUGUCACUUCUCCCCUUUGAAGAGCGACCAGGACUAUAUUCUCAAGGAAGGUGACUUGGUAAAAAUCGACCUUGGGGUCCAUGUGGAUGGCUUCAUCGCUAAUGUGGCUCACACUUUUGUGGUUGAUGUAGCUCUGGGGACCCAAGUAACAGGGCGGAAAGCAGAUGUCAUUAAGGCAGCUCACCUUUGUGCUGAAGCUGCCCUACGCCUGGUCAAACCUGGAAACCAGAACACACAAGUGACAGAAGCCUGGAACAAAGUUGCCCACUCAUUUAAUUGCACACCAAUAGAAGGUAUGCUGUCACACCAAUUGAAGCAGCAUGUCAUCGAUGGAGAGAAAACCAUUAUCCAGAAUCCCACAGACCAGCAGAAGAAGGACCAUGAGAAAGUUGAAUUUGAGGUACAUGAAGUAUAUGCUGUGGAUGUUCUCGUCAGCUCAGGAGAGGGCAAGGCCAAGGAUGCAGGACAGAGAACCACCAUUUACAAAAGAGACCCUUCUAAGCAGUAUGGCCUGAAAAUGAAAACUUCUCGUGCCUUCUUCAGUGAGGUUGAAAGGCGUUUUGAUGCCAUGCCUUUUACUUUAAGAGCAUUUGAAGAUGAGAAGAAGGCCCGCAUGGGUGUGGUGGAGUGCGCCAAACACGAACUGCUACAACCAUUUAAUGUUCUCUAUGAGAAGGAGGGUGAAUUUGUUGCCCAGUUUAAAUUUACAGUUUUGCUUAUGCCCAAUGGCCCCAUGCGGAUAACCAGUGGUCCCUUUGAGCCUGACCUUUAUAAGUCUGAGAUGGAGGUCCAGGAUGCAGAGCUCAAGGCCCUCCUCCAGAGUUCGGCAAGUCGGAAAACCCAGAAAAAGAAAAAAAAGAAGGCCUCUAAGACUGCAGAGAAUGCCACCAGUGGGGAAACUUUAGAAGAAAAUGAAGCUGGGGACUGAGGGCCAGCCUGAGAUUGGAUGGGUAAUUUGUAUUAGAGCUGCUUCCGCAUGAGGCAUUGCUGACCUGAAGAUACUAUGCUGAGUGAAACUGAACACAUCCCUUCAUGAGAACUUACAGAGAGUGGGCAAUCAACAGGUGAGAUCCCAGUGGAUUUGAUAUAAAAACAAUCCUGGGGUUUUUUGUUUUCAAACACAUUACCUUCUGCUGGUGACAAUACUAGAACCGCUUAGGCACUUGGAACAAGGGCCCUAAAUUUAGAAACCUUGUUUUUCCAGAGCUAAAAAGUGAAAUUUUAUAAAGAGAAACCACUAAAAAAGGGAUUAUAACAAGCCGUACCGUAUCUUACAGUGAAUAAGGUGAAGUCUGUAUGAUGAAGAGUUCUCUUUCAUCCAUAACUGUAGCCAAAUCUUUGGGUGUCUUUUCCGGGUACUUCUGACCUAACCAUACCGUGAGACUGGGAAGUUGUCUUGCCACCAAAUACCAUUCUUGCCCUAAAGAAACGUGUAGCUCAUCUUGCUUCCCCUCUGUCCAUUGAUUUGAUCUUCACCCUAUGCAGAAGGAGAAUCACUUAAGUAUUUUCUGAACAAGAUGCAUCGUGGCCAGGAAUAUAGUGAUAAUCUGCCUCAGGCAUUGUAGAGAAAGACCGGACUUGGCUAGGAAAAGAGUUUAUCUUCGAUAGUUACAAAGUUCUCUGUAGUAUGACAGCUUUCUCGACUCCUCACUUUACAUCCUUUCAAUGUUCUGAAAUCUUAGGACCUUUGUAAGUUCCAAGAUCGAAUCUCCCUGCAGCAAUUUAGUUUAGAAAAUAAGGUAAACCAGUAAAACAAAUCAGGAGUUUUUGUUCAAUCUGCACCUAUCCAUAGUAAAAUGGAGGAUAUCGCCAACAAACUGCAACUCCCAUGAAGCAAUGAGAGGGAAGGCGGAAGUAGCUGCCCUUUGCUCGUUUGCACCUCUAGGUCUCUUAUUGGAAAUAUGUGCUCAUAUUUAAAUAAUACAGUAUCCUCAUAAUAAAACUGGGGAAAGGGGAAUUUUGUAACUCAAACUCAAAAUACUGUUUUCCAACAGAACUUUCCUAAUUCAAUCACUUCUCAGAUACCUAAGGCCGAAACCCAUUGUUACUCCCCUCGGGCAGCCCCGCCCCUAGGGGCAGGGCGAGACAGCGGAAAUGACGACAAUGAGCGUUCCAUUAAAUAUCCGUAGGCGGGCCUCUAGCCCUCUCUCGGCCUUAGCGCCAUCUUCGGAGGUGAGUGUCUGUGCUGCUGUGUUCGGUUUCCGAGUACAAUCCACUAACAUCUGAUCUCUGCAGUUACCAUCGUUAUAGCAAACUAACUGCAGACUUUUUUUCUUUCCCCGUAGAAACCUCCGCGCCAUGAGAGCGAAGUGGAGGAAGAAGCGAAUGCGCAGGCUGAAGCGCAAAAGAAGAAAGAUGAGGCAGAGGUCCAAGUAAACUUGUACACCCAUGGAAGCCACAGGAGCAGAAACACGGGACGCCAGAGGCCAGGGACGCUGGUACAAAUUGUUGGACUGCUUGCCUACUGUCUAGAAUUUGUCUCAGUGGAUCUGGAACAUCGAUGGCCAUUCUGAUCGCCUCGACCGCCUUUGAGAGACCCACUUUGCUCGUAUCAAAACGGCCCCUUUUGGCCCUUUGCCCUGGACCUUUUGACAUACUGGACUAGUUCUAUUCUCAGUUGUGGCUGAAUGUAACAUGUAACAAUAAAUCAUAUCUUUUGCUGUCUUAGCUGAAGAAAAAAAUU